GACGAACGCUGGCGGCGUGCUUAACACAUGCAAGUCGAACGAUGAAGCUAGAGCUUGCUCUGGUGAAUUAGUGGCGAACGGGUGAGUAACACGUGAGUAACCUGCCCCGAACUCUGGGAUAACUGCUGGAAACGGUAGCUAAUACUGGAUACGACCUACGAAGGCAUCUUCUGUAGGUGGAAAGAAUUUCGGUUCGGGAUGGACUCGCGGCCUAUCAGCUUGUUGGUGAGGUAAUGGCUCACCAAGGCGACGACGGGUAGCCGGCCUGAGAGGGUGACCGGCCAACCGGGGAGAGGGACACGGCCCAGACCCCUCGGGGGGGAAGCGGUGGGGAAUAUUGCACAAUGGGCGCAAGCUUGAUGCAGCAACGCCGGGUGGGGGAUGACGGCCUUCGGGUUGUAAACCUCUUUUAGUAGGAAAGAAGCGAAAGUGAGGGUACCUGCAGAAAAACCACCGCCUAACUACGUGCCAGCAGCCGCGGUAA
rnacentral:rRNA from 1 species